AGAGUUUGAUCCUGGCUCAGAACGAACGCUGGUGGCGUGUCUUAUACAUGCAAGUCGAGCGAGGCAGCAAUGCCGAGCGGCGAACGGGUGAGUAACGCGUAAGCAAUCUGCCCCAUAUCAGGAAAUACCCGUGCCAACGCGCGGUUAAUGUCCAGGAGAGUGGCUCCCUGCAUGGGGAGUUGACUAGAGAUUUAUCGGUAUGGGAUGAGCUUGCGUCCGAUUAGCUAGUUGGCGGGGCAACGGCCCACCAAGGCGACGAUCGGUAGCCGGCCCUGAGAGGGUGAUCGGCCACAUUGGGACUGAGAUACGGCCCAGACUCCUACGGGAGGCAGCAGUAGGGAAUAUUGCACAAUGGGGAAACCCUGAUGCAGCAACGCCACGUGUGGGAAGAAGCAUUUCGGUGUGUAAACCACUGUCAUGAGGGAAUAAGGCCUAUUUCGGAUAGGAUUGAAUGUACCUUGAGAGGAAGCACCGGCAAACUUCGUGCC
rnacentral:rRNA from 1 species